GCGCCCGCAGGGCCGCGGGGCCAGGACGCGCCGCUCCGCCGAGGUGGAGCUCCUCGCCGGCAGCGGGCGCGGAGCUCGGGUGGAACCGGGCCUGCCCGCGCCCCCGAGAGUCCCCCCGAGUCCCCACGCUCACGUGCCGCCCCGGCCUUAGCGGCCUUUGGCUCCGGAUUUGUUGAUGCAAAUGUGUGUCUGAGCUCCCUGCCUCACCCAAACUCAGAGGCAAGGGUCCUGGGGCUGAGAGUGGCGGGCCGCAUGGGAAGCAUGCCCAUGGCCGGAGGCGGGGGGAACGCGGGUGAACAGGUGUGGGGGGAGGGGCGCUGUUUUCUAGGAACGUGCCCUGGGCCGUAGGUCAGGUUCUGUUUCUGUCUCUGCUGUUCACUGACCCUGUGACUUUGGAAAUCUUUCCAGUUUUGUUUUUUUUUAAACAGUGGAGAGAGAUGUGCCCAAGGCUGGUGGCAUCCCAGGUGUUGCUCAGGAUGCUGGGACCCGCAGGGAACAAGCCAGACAUAUCCCUGCCCCCCCUCGCCCACUGUGGCAGGGGCUGACCGCAGGCAGGACGCGGACCUGUUGGCCUCCUCGGCUUCUGAUGCGGGGUGUCUGCUGAGGAACCGGGGCUUGGUUUCCUGUCUAGAAAGUGUCAGAGCCUUGUGGUGUGGCGAACAUCUUUGGUGCUGUGUCCUUGGAGCUGCUCUGAGCAUUUAUUUCCUUAGGCUCAAGAUCCCGACAGGAGAGUGUGGGGCCAAAGACCGUGACGCCUUUUGCCAAGAUGCCCCCAGAAACGUGGGGCCAGUUUGCUGUCCUGCGCUGGCAGAAAGUACCAAGUGAUAAUUGGAUAUUAGCCGUGCUGGCUUUUCAGCUCUCUGCUGAGGAACUUUCUUCUUUAAACUGUUCCGAAAGCCCCAAACCCUGAGCUCUCCCCACCGCCUUCUCUCCCACGACCGUCUUAGAGACGUUGACGUCGACAAGAGAGGACUCACGCAUGAGCAGGACACAAGCUGGUGACCAUGUCCCCCUCGUCUGAUAGCAGUACUGCGAAGUGGCAAGUGGUGGCAUUUCUCACAUUGCCGAGAAAGAUGUGAACAUUCUGAGGACAUUCCAGGCUUCCAUAGCCCUGCUGGGGUUUGUCAUGUGAUCUCUCGGGGAGGGCGGCUCAGCCUUUCUGAAGGAACCACGUUCUCCCCGUGGAGAAAGGUUGACUGGCAGCUGUGGUGACAGAAGUGGACACAAGUCAAUUGGGAGACCACCAGGGUCAUUCAGGAGAAGCGGGGUGUCACAUUUGGGUAUGGAGAGGGUAGGCAGGAGGGAUGGGGAGGAAGGGGACCUAGGGGCCUGCUGAUUGACUGAUUUGGGAGAAUGAGGGAGGAGAAAGCACACAAAGCUGUCUGAGCAGGCUCAAAUGACAGGGAGUUUGCCGUUUUGGGAUGCAGGGCUGUCUCCCAGAGGGGGCCCGAGGGUUGCCUGUGCGGCAUCUGGGGCAGAGGGUAGUGGGAGCUUCCAUCCGAGGUGGAUUUCACUGCUUUUCUGGGCCAGUCUCCUAGGACUCUGGUCCAGAGACCAGCUUCUCUUGAGGGCCCACAGGCAGCAGACAGAACACAGCCACCAGAUUUUGUUGCACCCCAAAUGCUUGGCUCCAGGCCCCCCCCCAGCUCUGUUUCUGAUGCUUAAGCUCAGUUGAGGGGAGGAGUUCGGCUGGCAUGGAUAAUCUUUGUGAGCUGGACUCCCAAGUCACAGCUGGCACACCAGUGUGUGGUUUUGUGUCCUUGGGUCAGAUGUCUGCUAGAAUUAGCCGUGCUCAGCGGUGUAGGAUGGGCAGGGGGUGGAGAGGCCAACUUCCAGAAGGAGGAGUGGGAGUGUCUGUCAAGAAAAGAGUUAGCCACUUGGGAACUAAGAAUAAGUUGCUUGUUACAUGCCCAAUAAUUAAAACGAAUAAAUCAAUAAAUCAAUAAGUAAGGUGCCUGGGACUGAAAAUGGCCCCAAUGGAACCAGCCCUCUCUCCUCCAACAGUCACCGUUCCUACUGAGGCACGCCCAUCCAUACUGUCACCUAAGCCAGAAACCUGGGUUGGGGGCAGAUUGCUGCUGAGAACAGCAGAAGAACAGCCCAGCUGAGCACAGCCCAAGUUGCUGACUUAGAGAAUGAUGAGCAAAUGAAGUGGUUGUCUCUCAGCUGGGAUCUUAGCUGGGGCUCUGGGCCAGAACACCUCCGCAAGACGCCUCCCUGGGCCCUCAGCUUCCUCACGGCAUUGUGACUGAGCUCUGAGGGCAAGCACUUUCUGAGAGAGUCAGAGGGAGGCAGCACCACCUUUUUGAUCCAGCCUGAGAUGUCAUGCAGCAUCAGUGCCACUGGAUUCUAGUCCUUGAGGCAGAUAAUACGACCUGCCAAGUUCCAUGAAAGGGAAUUAAACUCCGUCUCUUCAUGGGGAGUGGCAAGGUCCUGGAACACCUUGAAACAGAAAUGUUGUCGUGGCCAUUUUUGGAAAACACCAUCUGCUGUACUCCUUGUAGUCAAAGAUUGCACUCUGCAGGAUGUCAGAGCUUGGAAAUUUUUUGAGGCUUUCUUUAUGGCUCAUUUAAUUUUUGUAAAUGCUCUGGGUGAAUUUGAGAAGAAAAUGCACUCUGCAGUUGUUAGUAGGAAUAAAAUCUCAGUUGAUUUUGUUGGCCAUGUUGUUCAAAUAUUCUAUAUCUAUACUAUUUUUCUGUCUGCUUGUUCUGGUUCAUUACUGACAGAGAACAUAUUAAAAUUUUCCACGAUUGUGGAUUUGUCUAUUUUUUU